AUACAGAGAGCGACAGCUCACUACUAGGAUCCCAGCUAUACUAGUUAUGACUUUUAGGGCCCAGCAUAGGCCAGAGACCAGGGAUGCCCACCGUCUCUGCAGGGGGCCAUCAAUAAGGCUCUCAACCAACUUAAUUUCCCAUGAGACCCCUUGCAGAACUGCUGUUAUGUUCUGCCAAUUGUCAGGGAUAAAGGUACAACAUCGUGUUCCUAAAAGGAUACAGGUGCCUCCUUGGGCAGCAGUUAGUAUGUCUAAGGCCAUUCAGUUUUGCAACACCACCUCAGCUUACUCCUGACUAAAGCACAGCCAUUUUCCCUACACUGUUUUC
rnacentral:lncRNA from 10 species